rnacentral:lncRNA from 1 species
GCGUGUUUGAAUUAUUUAAUAAAAAAUUAAAAAAUAAAAAUAUUUACGUAAAUUCGACUUGCGUAAAUCCGGAUUUCCGUAAAAAAACAAUUCCCGGCAUACGUUAUUUACGGACAGCGGUUUCGUUCAUUCGAAACAUCUGAAAUACGUUACAUGUUCAGCGUAACCAGACAAGGAUCUCCUAAAACAAAGGAACAGAGCAGCAGAAUGGACUGAUAGCACUACUAUAUGAUAGCUGAUGGAUCACUGCUCCACUUGCAGAUUUCAGUGCCAUCUUGUUUUUGUGAGGUCUUGUUAAAUCUUUAGAAGACCAGGUCUUUUGUCCCUUUUUUCUCUGAGUGCAUCUGGGCUCCAGCAGUGAGGGAGAGGAUCCUUGAGGCA